UACGGAGGGUGCAAGCGUUAAUCGGAAUUACUGGGCGUAAAGCGUGCGCAGGCGGUUUGUUAAGUCUGCUGUGAAAUCCCCGAGCUCAACUUGGGAAUUGCAGUGGAUACUGGCAGGCUGGAGUAUGGUAGAGGAAGGUGGAAUUCCCGGUGUAGCAGUGAAAUGCGUAGAGAUCGGGAGGAACACCAGUGGCGAAGGCGGGCCUUCUGGACCAAUACUGACGCUCAUGCACGAAAGCGUGGGGAGCAAACAGG
rnacentral:rRNA from 1 species